AACUCAGCAGAAAGCCCACGCGGCUCAGCCCCAGAUUCCAGAGGACCUCUGGUUAAGAUGGGAAAUAACCAAUCCACUUCCCGGCAGACGCCCUUGAGAUGCAUCCUUGAUAACUAGAUGACCCUGAACAUACUAGGGUCUUAAAGGAAGCCCGGAGCUUGCCACAAAUGCCAUCAACUGGGAUAUUGGGCGGCACUCUGCCCUGGGGACCCAAGA